rnacentral:rRNA from 1 species
AUUGAACGCUGGCGGCAGGCCUAACACAUGCAAGUCGAACGGUAACAGGAAGCAGCUUGCUGCUUCGCUGACGAGUGGCGGACGGGUGAGUAAUGUCUGGGAAGCUGCCUGAUGGAGGGGGAUAACUACUGGAAACGGUAGCUAAUACCGCAUAAUGUCGCAAGACCAAAGAGGGGGACCUUCGGGCCUCUUGCCAUCGGAUGUGCCCAGAUGGGAUUAGCUUGUUGGUGGGGUAACGGCUCACCAAGGCGACGAUCCCUAGCUGGUCUGAGAGGAUGACCAGCCACACUGGGACUGAGACACGGUCCAGACUCCUACGGGAGGCAGCAGUGGGGAAUAUUGCACAAUGGGCGCAAGCCUGAUGCAGCCAUGCCGCGUGUAUGAAGAAGGCCUUCGGGUUGUAAAGUACUUUCAGCGGGGAGGAAGGGAGUAAAGUUAUUACCUUUGCUCAUUGACGUUACCCGCAGAAGAAGCACCGGCUAACUCCGUG